rnacentral:rRNA from 1 species
AGUGAACGCUGGCGGCAGGCCUAACACAUGCAAGUCGAACGGCAGCACGGCAGUAGCAAUACUGUGGGUGGCGAGUGGCGGACGGGUGAGGAAUACAUCGGGAUCUACCCUGUUGUGGGGGAUAACGUAGGGAAACUUACGCUAAUACCGCAUAAGAACUGAGGUUGAAAGCGGCGGACCGCAAGGCGUCGCGCGAUUGGAUGAACCGAUGUCCGAUUAGCUAGUUGGCGGGGUAAAGGCCCACCAAGGCGACGAUCGGUAGCUGGUCUGAGAGGACGACCAGCCACACUGGAACUGAGACACGGUCCAGACUCCUACGGGAGGCAGCAGUGGGGAAUAUUGGACAAUGGGCGCAAGCCUGAUCCAGCCAUGCCGCGUGGGUGAAGAAGGCCUUCGGGUUGUAAAGCCCUUUUGUCCGGAAAGAAAAGCAUCCGGUUAAUACCCGGGUGUUCUGACGGUACCGGAAGAAUAAGCACCGGCUAACUUCGUG